ensembl:lncRNA
AUGGAUCGCAAUAGCCACGCUGCAUUUUGGUCCGACUCUCUUUCACAUAAAGAAAACCGUGACAGAAUCACCCACCACAACAGGACCAAGCGGCGUGGUAACGGGCAACAGCAACAGCGGCGCAAAGAGGAAUGGACUUGGGACGAUGUAUUGGACACCAAGGGUUGCUACACAUGGGAGGAGAUCCUGGCGGGAAAGGAUCGCCUUCCAUGGGAACAGGUGGAGGCAGCUAGGAGAGCAGAGGCAGCUGGAGAGAGGAGCCGGCGAUAUGAGGGAACACGGCUGGCAAGGAAGCCCGAGAGUCAGCCCCAAAAAUGUAUUGGGGGGUGGCACACAGGAAGUGUGGCGAAGCCAGGUAGGAGGCCUGCGCCAACUUCCUGUGCUUACCGGGGGGCGAGAGAGACCGGCCAGGCACCGUGUUAUGCGGUGGAGCGCACGGUGUCCCCAGUGCGGGUGCACAGGCCGGUGCGGUACAUUCCAGCUCCGCGUAUCGGCCGGGCUAGAGUGGGCAUCGAGCCAAGUGCCAUGAAGCCGGCUCUACGCAUCUGGUCUCCAGUGCGUCUCCUUGGGCCGGCUUACAUGGCACCAGCCUUGCGCACGGUGUCCCCGGUUCGCCUGCAUAGCCCAGUGCGGGCUAUUCCACCUCGCCGCACUGGCAGGGCGACCGGGACCAUUCAACCGGGUAAGGUUGGGCAGGCUCGGUGCUCAAGAGCUCCAGUGCGCCUGAACGGCCCAGUCUAUCCGUCACCACCCCCACGCACCAGCCCUCCGGUGGCAGCCCCCCGCACCAGGCUGUCUCUCCGGCCCAUCCUUACAGGGGCUCCCUCCUCUCCAGCGCUGCCAGAGCCUUCCUCUCCAGCGCCGCCUGAGCCGCCCGUCUGCCCAGCGCCGCCUGAGCCGCCCGUCUGCCCAGCGCCGCCUGAGCCGCCCGUCUGCCCAGCGCCGCCUGAGCCGCCCGUCUGCCCAGCGCCGCCUGAGCAGCCCGUCUGCCCAGCGCCGCCUGAGCCUCCCGUCUGCCCAGCGCCUACCGUCUGCCCAGCGCCGCCUGAGCCGCUCGUCUGCCCAGCGCCGCCUGAGCCGCCCGUCUGCCCAGCGCCGCCUGAGCCGCCCGUCUGCCCAGCGCCGCCUGAGCCGCCCGUCUGCCCAGCGCCGCCUGAGCCGCCCGUCUGCCCAGCGCCGCCUGAGCAGCCCGUCUGCCCAGCGCCGCCUGAGCCUCCCGUCUGCCCAGCGCCUACCGUCUGCCCAGCGCCGCCUGAGCCGCCCGUCUGCCCAGCGCCGCCUGAGCCGCCCGUCUGCAGGGAGCCGCCCUUCUGCAGGGAGCCGCCAGUCUGCAGGGAGCCGCCAGUGCCGCCAGUCAGCCAGGGGCCGCCAGUGCCACCAGUCAGCCAGGGGCCGCCAGUCGGCCAGGGGCCGCCAGUGCCGCCAGUCGGCCAGGGGCCGCCAGUGCCGCCAGUCGGCCAGGGGCCGCCAGUGCCGCCAGUCGGCCAGGGGCCGCCAGUGCCGCCAGUCAGCCAGGGGCCGCCAGUGCCCCUCAGCCCAGAGCUUCCGUGGUUAGGAGGCCACGGAAGCAGACAAUAA